AUGGAUAUGUCCAGGGGUGAGGCAGGUGGAUCGAUGAUAGCACGAGAUGAUCAGGGAUCCUUCCUCGCAACCAGAUUUAGACACUACCCAGGGACUACUUCUCCGCUGAUAGGUGAAGCUUUGGCGUGUCGGGACGCGAUGGUAUUUGCGAUGGAGCAAGGAUGGACCAACGUUCAAGUUGAAACAGACUGUCAAGUCUUUGCCAAUGAGUGGAAGAAUACAAGAGACCUGUCUGAUGUGGGUCUCAUUAUUAGAGAGACGAAGGUCUAUCUCUCAUCUUUCCAGGGAUUCGAGUUGUAUCAUAUUAGUAGAGACGCCAAUGGUCUGGCGUGCAAAUUAGCUCGGCAUGCUCUGCUGUUAGGCAUGGGCGAUGUUACUUUCAGUUAUAUCCCUGAGUUCUUGAGUGACGAAAUGCACUAUGUACGAUGGAGGAAUGAAUAA
rnacentral:rRNA from 1 species